UACGGGGGGGGUAAGCGUUGUUCGGAAUUACUGGGCGUAAAGGGCUCGUAGGCGGCCAACUAAGUCAGACGUGAAAUCCCUCAGCUUAACUGGGGAACUGCGUCUGAUACUGGAUGGCUUGGAUUCGGGAGAGGAAUGCGGAAUUCCAGGUGUAGCGGUGAAACGCGUAGAUAUCUGGAGGAACACCGGUGGCGAAGGCGGCAUUCUGGACCGACAUUGACGCUGAGGAGCGAAAGCCAGGGGAGCAAACGGG
rnacentral:rRNA from 1 species